UUCUGUUUUGGGGCUGCAUUCAACUACUGAAGACAGCAUGCCAAAAUAAAAGUCGGGAGAUUAUGCAACAAUAGGUGGUAAAUAAUGCAUCAUCACUCAGAUUUAGCAAAUACCAUGUGGAUUGAGUCACGCUUCACUAAUGCAUAGCCAAUGCUAAAGGUUAAUGUGGUCCCAGGUAGUUUAGUUUCCAGGGAAGCAAUGAGAGGGAGGGAAAGCAUUUAGUCUUCAAUUCAUAUGGCAGCUCAAGCUAGGUUUCAAUGCAAUGGUAGAACAAUCCAUGGCUUCACCUAAUAUUGUAACCAAAAGGAAAGAAGAACUCAUGCAAAACCUGUCGUAUCUUAAUAAUGAGUUUCACAGUAUAAACCUGGCAACCACCUCGAAGAGCUUCCAAAACCAGGUACUUUAAUUGUUCUCUGCUUAUAACGACAUCCUUUAGAUACUCUCUUGCCAAAAUGAUCUGCAACAUGUAAAUUUUAUGGAAACGAAUCAAACAAAUUUCAUCUAUUGCCCACAAGUUAUGGGUACACAUGCUUCUGUGUGACUAUAUCAAUAAUCUUUCAAGA